GCUGGUUGGGACUGAAUCUGGGCAGAAUGGCUGUCCACUUGCUUUGCAGUUACGAGUAUAGCAGCACCAGAAGAAUCAGCAGACUCUAUCAUAAAGAGGAAGCCGUCAGGUUCUUGGAUAAUUGCUGAAUGGAACUAAGGGAAAUGAG
rnacentral:lncRNA from 1 species